UUUUAAAUAAUUAAUUUAUUUAAAAUAAUUAAUUUAUAAAUAAUUUUAGGGAUAAUCUUAAAAUUAAAAUUAAAAUUUUUUUAAAAA
rnacentral:tRNA from 1 species